UAAUGUAACUCUAGUGUUUUAAAAUUGUAAAUUUUAUUAAAUAAGGAGUAAUAUUUUAU
rnacentral:tRNA from 1 species